rnacentral:rRNA from 1 species
GACUAGUGUUGCAAAACUAAGCGGAUGAGCUGUGGAUAGGGGUGAAAGGCUAAACAAACUUGGAGAUAGCUGGUUCUCUCCGAAAACUAUUUAGGUAGUGCCUCAAGUAUUACCAUCGGGGUAGAGCACUGUUAUGGCUAGGGGGUCAUGGCGACUUACCAAACCAUUGCAAACUCCGAAUACCGAUGAGUACAGCUUGGGAGACAGUGCACCGGGUGCUAACGUCCGGACACAAGAGGGAAACAACCCAGACCGCCAGCUAAGGUCCCCAAAAAUUGGCUAAGUGGGAAACGAAGUGGGGAAGGCUAAAACAGUCAGGAUGUUGGCUUAGAAGCAGCCAUCAUUUAAAGAAAGCGUAAUAGCUCACUGAUCGAGUCGUCCUGCGCGGAAGAUGUAACGGGG